rnacentral:rRNA from 1 species
UACGUAGGGGGGCAAGCGUUGUCCGGAAUCAUUGGGCGUAAAGCGCGCGUAGGCGGCCAGAUAAGUCCGGUGUGAAAGUCACAGGCUCAACCUGUGAAUGCCGCUGGAAACUGUCUGGCUUGAGUCCGGAAGGGGCGAGUGGAAUUCCUGGUGUAGCGGUGGAAUGCGCAGAUAUCAGGAGGAACACCAAUGGCGAAAGCAGCUUUCUGGGACGGUACUGACGCUGAGACGCGAAAGCGUGGGGAGCGAACAGG